ensembl:lncRNA
UCUCUCUCCAGGUGUGUGUGUUGUCUCUCUCCAGGUGUGUGUGUUGUCUCUCUCCAAGUGUGUGUGUUGUCUCUCCAGGUAUGUGUGUGUGUUGUCUCUCUCCAGGUAUGUGUGUGUUGUCUCUCUCCAGGUAUGUGUGUGUGUUGUCUCUCUCCAGGUAUGUGUGUGUGUUGUCUCUCUCCAGGUAUGUGUGUGUUGUCUCUCCAAGUGUGUGUGUGUGUUGUCUCUCUCCAGGUAUGUGUGUGUGUUGUCUC